CACUCGUGAUGAACGAACAUGCGUGAACAAUCUCUGAGCAGGCAAUGCUUGCAGAGGAUUAAAAAACUUGUUGCCUUCCUUCUGAUGUGCAAAGAACAAACCUUUUU